GGAAUCUAAUGCAGCCGUUCCCACAACCUCCAUACCGAACUGCACGUCUGUGUCCAUGAGAAACUUACUUUUACUUGUAAUCAGGAAACUGUUUACCUACCUGUAAGACUUACCUGCCUUGCCUCGUGGAGAUCCAUGCUCGCAGCCCUGCACCCUCCACUGAAAUCCAUAUUCUCUGGUUGCCGUCUCUUCGUCUCUCCUGGAACCAAGCCUGCCCUCUGGCUCUUCUUCUCAUUGCUCUAACUCAUCACAAGGAAGGAAUACAAACUACGACUCGCCGCUUUCAGUCAGCCAGUCCCAUAUUUCAUGGCAGUGCCAUUCCUCUUUACAGACCCUCUCAGACUGUAUGCAUAUCCUCCAGCCCAAGGGUGUCAAAAAUAAGGCCCGGGGGCCAGAAUCUGCCAGACAAAGACUCCAGUCUGGCCCACUGGGCGGCUUUGGAAAAUGUAAAGGAGGACGUAGAUUUUAGACUUUUAACUGUAUGUUUGCAGCCGUUUGUAUUGCACCAACAUAAAUAAUAAGUAGCAGAUAAACAAUUAAAUGACAGAAAGUUCCUGUUUUUUUACUACAUUUUCGACUGCUAUGGAAAUUUGAUUUUUACAAAACUGCUAAAAAAUACAAAAUAAAAUAAGGAUAUAUUCUGUGAAUUAACAAAAAAUAUCUUUUAUAGUCACAGGAAAGUCUGAAUAAUCACCUAACAAAACUUUUUUUGUCAUUUUACACAUUUAUCUUUUACAAUUUAUACCCAAAGAGUCUGGCAGACUACUUUCCUUUACUACAGCAGAAUUUCUUAAAAUCUGAGACGUACUGUUGGUCUUACACUUCUUUUUCUUUCUCUUAUUUUAAAAUAUCUUGGUUGUUGGUGUGAAAUUCUUUGCUCUGACUCAUCAUUUCAUUUUGCUUCCUGUCUUGAGUUUUUUAUUAUUGCCUCCCCUGUUUCCUCUAUUAGUGUUCUGUAGGGUUGUUUCCUGUUUUCUUUGAUAGUUUUAACUGGGUUUCACUUCCUGUCUGUGUUGAUAUUCACUUGUUAUAUACACUGAUAGUCCUGCCCUCCUCUUUACCUUUGUUGCAUGGUCUGUUAUAUUCCUGGUGGAGUUGCUUAGUCAUGCAGUUUGUGUCUCACCUUUUGCUGAAUAGUCUGCUUUACAAUCCAGUCUUAAACUACAAUAGUACACUACACUCCAACAUUUGCAACAUGUUAUUUUUAUCCUUUUAGUCUUUUAGGGUAGCUUUGCAUGAAUCAUAGUCCUUAUUCAUCCUAUAUUGGGGGUGUGUUUGAAUACUAAGGUUUCUGAGUGAAAUGGCAGUGAAGUAUCUGCAUGGGGGCCACAAUAAGAGCCUUUUGAAGUCUCCCAAUACUGAAGAAAGGAGCUUCAGUGCUUCCUGUUUCACCUCCCUCAACAGACGAUAGAUUUAAUCAUCCUUUAUGAAAAGAGAGGAGGAAAUGCCGUCCUGUUAUUCACAGCGACCGACCAUCUGACCGUUCAUGAAGAUGAUCAGGAACACUGGCAAA